rnacentral:tmRNA from 1 species
CUUGUUGAAGGCGCGCGCCUGAUGGCCUAUAUCGGUCGUCGCCGGCUUGCCGGCUAUGGCGAUAAACUGCGGCGUGUCAUAGGCGCAGCGGACCCGGGGGCAGUACCCGGCGGCUCCACCAGAAGCUCGUUUCGACGGGUUCCUGACGGGGCCGAACCAGGAUCGACGUGUGUUGAAAAGCGCAGCUUUCGCUCGGAAUGGGACCACCGUGACGGCCCAUACACAAGUGCCAACGAUAACGAGGCGCUCGCGAUUGCGGCCUAACCCAGGACCUCACGGUCUAGGUUAGUUCUGACAAAAGCGCGGUCCGGGCCGCACCGGGCAACAGAAGCGGAUUCCA